AGCUGGGCUGAUGGCUGGUUUCUCUGAGAACACUGGUCUGUCUGUGGUGUUGGACAGGAGGAGAGCUCUCACCCUCUCACCUCUACCGCCAGAUACCUCCUGCCAGACGGAGAGCCCCUAUAAGAUUCCACACAGCUCAGCGGAGAAUGGCUACACCAAGGUGCACUGGACUCAGUUUGCCCAUGUCCCCUCACUCAAGACGUCUGUGCAGAAGAAUGGCACCACCUCCUCCACCAAUCACACGCUGCAUCCUGAGAGGCGUGGCAGUGCCAGGCGAGAACUGCGGUUAGUUCUGAAUGACGUUCUGAAGACAAAAAUUGGGCGACAUUACCUGCAAGAGGGUGGGUGUGUCCAGUCGUCAGCGAGCCAAUCAGGGAAGAGCUGGAGAGAGAGCCAGACACCGCGGCAACAGGGUGGGUGUGGCCAGUCGUCAGCGAGCCAAUCAGAGAAGAGCUGGGGAGAGAGCCAGAGACCGCGGCACCAGAGUGGGUUUGACCAGUCACCAGUAAGCCAAUCAGCGAAGAGCUGGAGAGAGAGCCAGAGACCGCGGCAGCGGCCCAGACCAGCCGGGUUCCGAAGGAGGCGUGGCGAUCUCCAGCCCAAACGAAUCUAUUCCUCAGACGAGCUCCAGCCCAAACUAAUCUAUUCCCCAGACGAUCCCCAGCACACACAUGUCGAUUCAGCCAAGAUCAGAACUCUCCUUUUCCAAAGGUCCAAACCACCAGCCUCGGAACAGCCCAAACUGAUCAAUUCCUCCCGGUCGGAUCGGUCGGAUCACUCUGAACAGGCCAAACUGAUCAAUUCCUCCCGGUCGGAUCGGUCGGAUCGGUCGGAUCGGUCGGAUCACUCUGAACAGCCCAAACCAAUCAAUAGACCGAAAGCCAAACCAGAAUCCAGAUCCAUCGACUACUACUUCAAGUGUCAAACCCCCAACGCGGGCACACCGGAGUCGGUGGAGCGGGCCAAACCCAAACCAGCUCGCUCAGAACCACAACCCAGACCAGCUCGCUCAGAACCGCCGCCCAGACCAGCUCGCUCAGAACCACAACCCAGACCAGCUCGCUCAGAACCGCAACCCAGACCAGCUCGCUCAGAACCACAACCCAGACCAGCUCGCUCAGAACCGCCGCCCAAAUCCCUUAAUAACGCUCAAGGCCACCCAGGCCUGGGUACAGGACCACUACACUCCCCCUCCUCCUCGGGUCAGACCGCUACCGGUCAGCCCAAACACGCUGACCCCUCACAGUCCAAACUGGGGGGCCGCUCCAGGUCAGAACCACUCGCCUCCGGGUCGUCUGCACCAGGGGCCCGCACAGCCUCCGGUGCUGAGAAGCACUCCGAGCGGGCCGAAGCCCCAGCAGACUCUCCCAAGCCUCGCCCGGGCGUCUCGGGGCGGGCCGAAGCCAGCGACUCUCCCAAGCCUCGCCCGGGCGUCUCUGGGCGGUCCGAAGCCCCAGCAGACUCUCCCAAGCCUCGCCCGGGCGUCUCUGGGCGGUCCGAAGCCCCAGCAGAGGGGCCCGAUUCGGGUGAAGUGACCCGGUCUGAGUCCAGUCUACCGGAGAGAGGCAACUCGCGUCUGGUUCCUCCGACUCAGAUGCCUGAGGAUUCUCAUGAGUCAGGACCUGUGACCCACGGACGGCCUCCUGCAGCAGAGGAAGAGCACGCGAAGAGGAGGAGUUGUGAGAAUGGUGGCGAGAACAGGAAUGGCGUGAUGAGGGAGGAAGAGUGUGUGUUGAGGAAGAGUGUGCUGCGUCUCUCGGGAGAGAGUGCGGUGGUGAGCGGAGACGAAGAGCCGCCAAUCAAGUGUCCCCGCCUAGUGAGCCCAGCUGAAGAAGAGCCAAUCACGUGUCCCCGCCUAGUGAGCCCAGCUGAAGGACAGCCAAUCACGUGUCCCCGCCUAGUGAGCCCAGCUGAAGACCCGCCAAUCAAGUGUCCCAGUCUAGUGAGCCCAGCUGAAGAACAGCCAAUCAAUGCGGAAAGGCAGAGUUUGAUAAGGACCCCCUCUCACAACAGCCAAUCAGAGCUCAGUAUGUAUUUUAAACAACAACAACAACAACAGACAUAAACAUACACACAGGUUCUCUUACCUCAGUUGAAACACACAUGCACACACAUGCGCACACACACUCACACACACACACACACACACCAAGAGAGCACAUGGAGUCUGUUUUGUCAUAGAAUGAAAACUUGUAUCUGAGAUGAAAGAGAUGCUUUGUGCCAGAUUUAGCCUUGCGCUAGUUCCUGUCUGCUGUCUCUGAGCAGAUACACAAACACACGCUAGUUCCUGUCUGCUGUCUCUGAGCAGAUACACAAACACACGCUAGUUCCUGUCUGCUGUCUCUGAGCAGAUACACAAACACACGCUAGUUCCUGUCUGCCAUCUCUGAGCAGAUACACAAACACACGCUAGUUCCUGUCUGCCAUCUCUGAGCAGAUACACAAACACACGCUAGUUCCUGUCUGCCAUCUCUGAGCAGAUACACAAACACACGCUAGUUCCUGUCUGCUGUCUCUGAGCAGAUACACAAACACAAGCUAGUUCCUGUCUGCCGUCUCUGAGCAGAUACACAAACACAAGCUAGUUCCUGUCUGCUGUGUCUGAGCAGAUACACAAACACAAGCUAGUUUCUGUCUCUGAGCAGAUACACAAACACAAGCUAGUUUCUGUCUCUGAGCAGAUACACAAAGAUACACAAACACAAGCUAGUUUUUGUCUGCACAAUUGCAUGAAUGAAACCCAGUAAACCCAGUUGGUGUGUACCUGCCGAAUCAGACUGUGUUUUGGGGCUGUGUGUGUGUGUGUACCCCUGACGUGAAGUGAAGGCCAUUCUGACGGAGAACCAGCAGCUCUCUGACUGGGCUACAGCCGGUCAUGUGCCUUUCAGACCCACUAAGAGCCAAGAGGUGAAGGGGCCCUUUGCUUACCUGUUUGCCUCUCAGACCACUAAGAGCCAAGAUGUGAAGGGGCCCUUUGCUUACCUGUUUAAGUCACGCCUGGCAGUAAAGGCAGGAUGGAAUUGACAUAAAACCUGUCUGUGUCUGCUGGAGGAACUGGCUCGAUG
ensembl:lncRNA